AGGAAUAUUGGUCAAUGGACGAGAGUCUGAACCAGCCAAGUAGCGUGAAGGAUGAAGGUUCUAUGGAUUGUAAACUUCUUUUAUACGGGAAUAAACGGAUCCACGUGUGGAUUUUUGCAUGUACCGUAUGAAUAAGGAUCGGCUAACUCCGUGCCAGCAGCCGCGGUAAUACGGAGGAUCCGAGCGUUAUCCGGAUUUAUUGGGUUUAAAGGGAGCGUAGAUGGGUUGUUAAGUCAGUUGUGAAAGUUUGCGGCUCAACCGUAAAAUUGCAAUUGAUACUGGCAGUCUUGAGUACAGUUGAGGUAGGCGGAAUUCGUGGUGUAGCGGUGAAAUGCUUAGAUAUCACGAAGAACUCCGAUUGCGAAGGCAGCUUACUAACCUGUAACUGACAUUGAUGCUCGAAAGUGUGGGUAUCAAACAGGAUUAGAUACCCUGGUAGUCCACACGGUAAACGAUGAAUACUCGCUGUAGGCGAUAUACAGUCUGCGGCCAAGCGAAAGCAUUAAGUAUUCCACCUGGGGAGUACGCCGGCAACGGUGAAACUCAAAGGAAUUGACGGGGGCCCGCACAAGCGGAGGAACAUGUGGUUUAAUUCGAUGAUACGCGAGGAACCUUACCCGGGCUUAAAUUGCAACCGAAUAUGGCGGAAACGCCAUAGCUAGCAAUAGCGGUUGUGAAGGUGCUGCAUGGUUGUCGUCAGCUCGUGCCGUGAGGUGUCGGCUUAAGUGCCAUAACGAGCGCAACCCUUGCCGAUAGUUACUAACAGGUUAUGCUGAGGACUCUGUCGGGACUGCCAUCGUAAGAUGUGAGGAAGGUGGGGAUGACGUCAAAUCAGCACGGCCCUUACGUCCGGGGCUACACACGUGUUACAAUGGGGGGUACAGAGGGCUGCUACCACGCAAAUGGAUGCCAAUCCCAAAAACCUCUCUCAGUUCGGAUUGAAGUCUGCAACCCGACUUCAUGAAGCUGGAUUCGCUAGUAAUCGCGCAUCAGCCACGGCGCGGUGAAUACGUUCCCG
rnacentral:rRNA from 1 species